UACCAGCACCCCGAGUGGUCGGGACGAUUAUUGGGCCUAAAGCAUCCGUAGCCGGUCAUGCAAGUCCUCCGUUAAAUCCCCCUGCUUAACAGAUGGGCUGCGGAGGAUACUACAAGGUUAGGAGGCGGAAGAGGCAAGCGGUACUCAGUGGGUAGGGGUAAAAUCCUCUGAUCCAUUGAAGCCCACCAGUGGCGAAGGCGGCUUGCCAAUACGCGCUCGACGGUGAGGGAUGAAAGCUGGGGGAGCAAACCGG
rnacentral:rRNA from 1 species